GUGGUGGUGGUGGUGGUGGGGAAGAAGAUGUAGAGCACGCCUCAUGAGUUUCAAAAGUCGAAGCAUACAGAGACUUCCAAGGUGGUGGAGGUGGAGGUGGAGGCAACAAAGUUUCACUGUUUCGCCUCACAGAUGCAAACGGAGGUGGUGGAGGAGGUGGAGGUGGAGGCAACAAAGUUUCACUGUUUCGCCUCACAGAUGCAAACGGAGGUGGUGGAGGAGGAGGCGGCGGCGAUGGUAGCUGAGAUGUUUGCAAGUCACUGCUCUUUUGACCUACUGAAUAGUAUGCAGGCGGAGGUGGUGGUGGAG
rnacentral:lncRNA from 1 species